UGUCAGAUUAUUGGGCGUAAGGGCUCGCAGGCGGUUUCUUAAGUCUGAUGUGAAAGCCCCCGGCUCAACCGGGGAGGGUCAUUGGAAACUGGGAAACUUGAGUGCAGAAGAGGAGAGUGGAAUUCCACGUGUAGCGGUGAAAUGCGUAGAGAUGUGGAGGAACACCAGUGGCGAAGGCGACUCUCUGGUCUGUAACUGACGCUGAGGAUGCGAAAGCGUGGGGAGCGAACAGGAUUAGCAUACCCUGGUAGUCCACGCCGUAAACGAUGAGUGCUAAGUGUUAGGGGGUUUCCGCCCCUUAGUGCUGCAGCUAACGCAUUAAGCACUCCGCCUGGGGAGUACGGUCGCAAGACUGAAACUCAAAGGAAUUGACGGGGGCUGGCACAAGCGGUGGAGCAUGUGUGUUUAAUUCAAAGCAACGGGAAGAACCUUACCACGUCUUGACAUCCUCUGACAACCCUGGAGAUAGGGGUUUCCCUUCCGGGGAGUGAGUGAUAAGGGGUGCAUGGUGGUGGUAGAAUUGCACGGCCGGGAAAAGUUUGGGGUAC
rnacentral:rRNA from 1 species